rnacentral:misc_RNA from 1 species
UUCGCCGGCAUCACUUCAUCUUCUUCAAUUGAAAAAAAUUUCAAAAAAUGAAUCAAAAUAAGUUCACUGAAUUAUUACCGGGUCUACCCGAGGACAUUGCCCUCGAGUGUUUGACCCGGUUGCACUACUCAACUCAUGGAGUUGCAUCUCGUGUUUGCCGGAGAUGGUGUAGAAUUCUUCAAAGUAAAGCUUUCUAUUACCAUCGGAAACAAACGGGUUUUACCCAUAAAACUGCUUGUUUAGUACAAGCUUUGCCGUCUCCGGUUGAAUCAAAACCCACCGGACAACCCAGGUUUGCGAUCUCUGUUUUCGAUUUAGUAUCAGGGAUUUGGGAUCGGGUUGACCCGAUUCCAAAAUACCCGGAUGGAUUACCGAUGUUUUGUCAAAUUGCAACUACUGAAGGAAAGUUAAUUGUUAUGGGUGGAUGGAAUCCGUCGAGCUGGGAUCCAAUUAAGGAUGUGUUUGUCUACGAUUUCAUGACUCGGAGAUGGAAUCAGUGUAUGGAUAUGCCGGAAGCUCGGUCUUUUUUCGCUAUGGGAGCUACCGGAGGACGAGUUUUCAUCGCCGGCGGUCACGAUGAGAGUAAGAACGCACUGAGUUCCGCUUGGGUUUUCGAUAUUUCGUCCAACGAGUGGACGGAAUUGCCUAGGAUGAGUGAGGAGCGAGAUGAGUGUGAAGGGGUUAUAAUCGGCUCAGAUUUCUGUGUCGUAAGUGGCUACGACACGGAAAAUCAAGGCCGAUUUAAAAGUAGUGCUGAGUUGUACGAACUCAGCACGGCUCAGUGGAGACGAGUUGAGGAUGCAUGGGGUUCGAGCCAGUGUCCUAGGGCAUGUGUGGGGGUGGGUAAAAAUGGAAAUUUAACUUGUUGGGCAGAAUCCGACCCGAAUGUGAAAGUCGGAGCAUGUGGUGUGGAUCUUGGUUAUCGGACCUUGGUUA